AGUGAACGCUGGCGGUAGGCCUAACACAUGCAAGUCGAACGGCAGCACAGUAAGAGCUUGCUCUUACGGGUGGCGAGUGGCGUACGGGUGAGGAAUACAUCGUAAUCUACUUUUUCGUGGGGGAUAACGUAGGGAAACUUACGCUAAUACCGCAUACGACCUACGGGUGAAAGCAGGGGAUCUUCGGACCUUGCGCGAUUGAAUGAGCCGAUGUCGGAUUAGCUAGUUGGCGGGGUAAAGGCCCACCAAGGCGACGAUCCGUAGCUGGUCUGAGAGGAUGAUCAGCCACACUGGAACUGAGACACGGUCCAGACUCCUACGGGAGGCAGCAGUGGGGAAUAUUGGACAAUGGGCGCAAGCCUGAUCCAGCCAUACCGCGUGGGUGAAGAAGGCCUUCGGGUUGUAAAGCCCUUUUGUUGGGAAAGAAAAGCAGCAGGUUAAUACCCCGCUGUUCUGACGGUACCCAAAGAAUAAGCACCGGCUAACUUCGUG
rnacentral:rRNA from 1 species